rnacentral:rRNA from 1 species
CCUGACUGCUAUCGGAUUGAUACUAAGCCAUGUGAGUCAUUGCAGUAAUGCAAGGCAGACGGCUCAGUAACGCGUAGUCAACCUACCCUAUGGACGGGGAUAACCUCGGGAAACUGAGAAUAAUACCCGAUAGAACAUUAUACCUGGAAUGGUUUAUGUUUCAAAUAAUUUAUUGCCGUAGGAUGGGACUGCGGCCUAUCAGUUUGUUGGUGAGGUAAUGGCCCACCAAGACUAUUACAGGUACGGGCUCUGAGAGGAGUAGCCCGGAGAUGGGUACUGAGACACGGACCCAGGCCCUAUGGGGCGCAGCAGGCGAGAAAACUUUGCAAUGUGCGAAAGCACGACAAGGUUAAUCCGAGUGGUUUCUGCUAAAGGAACCUUUUGUCAGUCCUAGAAACACUGGUGAAUAAGGGGUGGGCAAGUUCUGGUGUCAGCCGCCGCGGUAAAACCAGCACCUCAAGUGGUCAGGAUGAUUAUUGGGCCUAAAGCAUCCGUAGCCUGCUUUGUUAGUUUUCGGUUAAAUCCAUACGCUUAACGUAUGGGCUGCCGGGAAUACUGCAAAGCUAGGGAGUGGGAGAGGUAGACGGUACUCGGUAGGAAGGGGUAAAAUCCUUUGAUCUAUUGAUGACCACCUGUGGCGAAGGCGGUCUACCAGAACACGUCCGACGGUGAGGGAUGAAAGCUGGGGGAGCAAACCGGAUUAGAUACCCGGGUAGUCCCAGCUGUAAACUAUGCAAACUCGGUGAUGCAUUGGCUUGAUGCCAAUGCAGUGCCGCAGGGAAGCCGUUAAGUUUGCCGCCUGGGAAGUACGUACGCAAGUAUGAAACUUAAAGGAAUUGGCGGGGGAGCACCACAAGGGGUGAAGCCUGCGGUUC